GCUUUUAAUGAAAAUAGAUUUCCCCUGGACUUAGGCUCCAAUUUUCUCAGUGCAAGUCUGAGUAAAAGCC
rnacentral:tRNA from 1 species